AGUCGAGCGGAGAUGAGGUGCUUGCACCUUAUCUUAGCGGCGGACGGGUGAGUAAUGCUUAGGAAUCUGCCUAUUAGUGGGGGACAACAUUUCGAAAGGAAUGCUAAUACCGCAUACGUCCUACGGGAGAAAGCAGGGGAUCUUCGGACCUUGCGCUAAUAGAUGAGCCUAAGUCGGAUUAGCUAGUUGGUGGGGUAAAGGCCUACCAAGGCGACGAUCUGUAGCGGGUCUGAGAGGAUGAUCCGCCACACUGGGACUGAGACACGGCCCAGACUCCUACGGGAGGCAGCAGUGGGGAAUAUUGGACAAUGGGGGGAACCCUGAUCCAGCCAUGCCGCGUGUGUGAAGAAGGCCUUAUGGUUGUAAAGCACUUUAAGCGAGGAGGAGGCUACUGAGACUAAUACUCUUGGAUAGUGGACGUUACUCGCAGAAUAAGCACCGGCUAACUCUGUGCCAGCAGCCGCGGUAAUACAGAGGGUGCGAGCGUUAAUCGGAUUUACUGGGCGUAAAGCGUGCGUAGGCGGCUUUUUAAGUCGGAUGUGAAAUCCCCGAGCUUAACUUGGGAAUUGCAUUCGAUACUGGGAAGCUAGAGUAUGGGAGAGGAUGGUAGAAUUCCAGGUGUAGCGGUGAAAUGCGUAGAGAUCUGGAGGAAUACCGAUGGCGAAGGCAGCCAUCUGGCCUAAUACUGACGCUGAGGUACGAAAGCAUGGGGAGCAAACAGGAUUAGAUACCCUGGUAGUCCAUGCCGUAAACGAUGUCUACUAGCCGUUGGGGCCUUUGAGGCUUUAGUGGCGCAGCUAACGCGAUAAGUAGACCGCCUGGGGAGUACGGUCGCAAGACUAAAACUCAAAUGAAUUGA
rnacentral:rRNA from 1 species